UCAUUCCUCUUGCUGACAUCCCAAGGUAAUUUCUGCCCUGCAGCCACAGAGGGAGGAGCCAUGCCCCAGCAGAAAUGCAUGCUCCAGGACCAGGGUUCCUUCCUGAGACCUGCUGUCCUACUCACCGAGUCCUGGUUCACAUGCCAAGGCUCAAGGCAGCAGGAAAGUAACAUCUUCUGGGGUCUGCUGCCCAUGAAGAGCAAGCCAAGAGACAGCUGCUCCCAUGCAACAAGGAUUUGGGUGAUUUCCCAGAACACUGCAAUCCACUGUCCGGGGUAUCUCCUGAGGCUGUCUCAACUUCCAAGCAUCUCUCCUGAUGGCAGCUGGCUGGGGAGAGCUGUACUGCUGGAGGACUUAUAAUGCAAAUAUACUGCCAGCAUAUGAUGCUAGAUUGAUAAGAGGAAAACAGAAGUCAGAAUUCUUCACUAUCCAGCUAACUCCACACUGCUCUCCUCUCCUACAGAGUCCUGUAAGAUCACCAGCCUGGGUAGAGAUGGUCUCCCCUGAUAUUAGGAAAUAAAUGUAUCUCCAGCACUGUGGAAUAGUGGCAGUCAGCAAAUGUCAGCUUCUAUGGUGAAGUCACAAGCCAGCAGAGACCUGAGCUUGCUCCUGCUCUGCAUCAGGACCAAAUAAAGAAUGUCCAGUCAUGAAACACAGUAUCCAGUGAUCAAUACCCGGAGUUAUCUUGUUCUCCAAGUCAAAAACAAACCUUCUUUAGGUGCAAGAGUGGCUGUCCAUUCUCCAAACAAAACUGAAAAGCUGGAGAAGAAGCAAGCCCAGCAACUUUAAUUUCAUUUUACAGUCAUCUGUAGUGCUGAUGUUCCUUUAACACUGUAUAAUGUAGCUUUGGUUAAUCUCACAAUGGUGUGCCCCAGAAACAGAAUGCCAUCUGCUGUUUAGGACAGGUUUGGUACAAUUAUGCCUUUUGCAAUAUUUGUGUCUCAUUUCUUUCAAGGAUAUGUAACUUCACUUUUUCUAUUUAAACUAGGAAAAGAUGACUAUAAAUGUCUUCUGCUGUGAUAUAAAGCUCAAAUUACAAAAGACAGAUGUCACAAAAUUACUCUUGUUUGCAUUCUGAAGCUGGAGCAUGUCAUUAGAAAGAUGAACGCUUUACAUUCUUCUUAUAUUUUCUAAUAUUAUAAUGACACAUAUUAUGGCAAGCACCAUAAUCUGUUCCACUGCCGUGCAAACAGUGCACAUCACCUCCCUACUAAAACUGCAAUAGUUAGAGUUGGGAGUUCAUUAUUUUCUUUGCCUUCCAUCAGGAUAUUGCUGAUCCAUGUAAUUACUGCAGUUGCAGAGAUGCAGCUGGGACAGCAUCAGUGCUUUUCGCUGGGCAGUUGCACCAGUACACUGAUGCUGUAUUGAUACUGGGACUGCACUGCUCCCAGCAUUAUUAUACUGGAAAUACAGGUAUUAAAAGCUCUAUUUGUAUUUUAAUACCUGUUAAAAACUACAGGCAAGCUCCAAUUUCAUAGCAUUUAACUUGGAGAUAGCAGCUUCCUGCUCAAGCUGAUGUGGAUAAAGUUGUACACUCAGCAGGGUCCAACCCUUUCCCUGAGAGAGGCAAGGUCAGCAAGUCCAGCUCUUUUCUCUCACAUCUCACUAAGGAACAAUAGCCCAUUUUCAGAUUCUUUCCCAGUGACCAAGGCUAGAAAAGCCUGUCAUGGUCACAAACACGGGAAGUGAGGCGUUUUCCAACUCUGCACAUUUCAUUUCAUGCAUAGAAGUGUAGAUUUAUCUAAAACAUGCACUGGGGAUGCACUGGUUUGGGCUGAACUUGUGAUCAAGCGGGGAGGACAUUUGCAGGGCGUGCACAGCAGGAGGUUUACACAGGAGGUCUGUGCACAUGUCCAUGCUCUGUCAAAUUCAGUAUGAGGAUGUGAUUCUGUCCCUCUGGGGAGACACAUCCUUGCUGCCCUGUUUCAGAGCUCAUUGCAAACAGGCUGCUUGCUCUGUGCCAAACUGCCAAAAUUAGUGAUCUCAUAUGAAAGGAAGCACUGGUUGAUGAUUUAGUUUUACCAGCAGCUCAAUGACCUAACCAUGUUUUCCUUCUAACAUACACAGGAGCAUUUAAUCUCCUGCUUUAGUGGGCUCUGUUUGACUUCACCUACCAUUAUCACAAUGACAUGCUGGUGGAGAGCAGAGCAAACCAUGGAUUAUGUGCAGUACCCACAUCAAAUGUAAUCAGGCUGAAUUAGCAGGGAUUGAGUCUCGGGCUCCUGGAAAUAAAUUGCAGUAUUACAUUUGUCUUCUGUGAGCCUUUAACAGCCACAAAACACUCACAGCAAAGGCCUGUGGUCAACUUCAAACAAAUUAUACAAGGCAUUUCAUACUGUGAUUAAGGUGAACUGGACCCUGCAGACAGAUGUGUGUAUUUUCACAAUUUAUCUUCAAAUACUGUCUAUAAAUUCUAAAAAAAGGAGGUGUUGGUUUGCUCUUGAGUUUGAUGGAGAGGCAGGUUGCUGGUUUGUUUUUUUGGGUUUUUUUUUGCUGUUAGGUAUAAGGAGGAUUUGAAGCAAAAUGGAAUAUAAGUAUACUUAAAGUUAUAUAGCAGUAUAAACAGAAAGGAGCAUUUUUUAAUCUUCAUUUAAAGGGGUACUGGGAAUUACAUCAUGUUCUCAGAAUCCAUCUUUUACUGUCUGACACUGACACCAGCAGAACCAUGAUAGGGUACAAAUUAAUGAUUGGACACAUCCUAUACUUGGUCUAACAUACACACACGAGAAAGUAAAUUUGAUCCUGAGAAAUGUUAUUUCAAAGCUUUUCCCUCCACACCUUCCAACUGUGGCUUGCAGCAUUUCAAUGAAGUAUGUCAGCUAAAAGAGCUGGAAAAACAGCAGAAAUACCAAGAGGCCAGCUCUUCACAAGUCUGUCAACUUGUGUGAGCUACACUGCCUUAAAAAGGGCUGGAGGACAAGGAAACCUUUCUCCAGUUGAGAUGGUCAGUGCCAUGCUCAGUGAACCACUGGGUUUCCUCUCUGCUUGCUGGCUUGCCUCUCACAUGCAAGCCUGGGGAAAGCAAGGGCACCCCUCUUUUGAGAGUCCACCAAUCCAGAUACCUAACACAAAGAAAAGGACAUCAGAUCUCUUUUCUCAUGCUGGCUAUGCCUUACAUUAGCUCAGCCCAAAGCACCUCUCCUCUGCCCUCCUUGCUUCUCUUAGGUCAGUGAUGAGUCAUCCGUACUUUAAUGGAGGUCCCUGAGGCUUAAUUCAUUAUCUGAGAAGAUCUUUGAGACCAUCAAGUGAAGGGUGUUACAGAAGUGCAAGGAGGUUAAGUCUUGUAACUCAUACCCAUAUGCUAUGUUUGUGCCUUUGCAUUUUUUUUUCUUUUUAAAAAAACAAAAUUUGUACCUCAUCCUAGAGCAGGGAGGGAGCCGUUCACUCCCUCUCCCACGAUGUACCCCCCUCCUUGCUUUCUUGUGCACAAGGUUUGGAAAAAGGGGG